GAUGAACGCUGGCGGCGUGCUUAACACAUGCAAGUCGAACGAGAAGUGAAGACGGAAACCUUCGGGCGGAAGGCUUUAUUUCGAGUGGCGGACGGGUGAGUAACGCGUGGGUAACCUGCCUCAUACAGGGGGAUAACAGUUGGAAACGACUGUUAAUACCGCAUAAGACCACAGCACCGCAUGGUGCGGGGGUAAAAACUCCGGUGGUAUGAGAUGGACCCGCUUUCGAUUAGCCAGUUGGCGGGGUAACGGCCCACCAAAGCGCCGAUCGAUAGCCGAUCUGAGAGGAUGACCGGCCACAUUGGGACUGAGACACGGCCCAGACUCCUACGGAAGGCAGCAGAGGGGAAUAUUGCACCAUGGGGGAAACCCUGAUGCAGCGACGCCGCGUGAGUGAAGAAGUAUUUCGGUAUGUAAAGCUCUAUCAGCAGGGAAGAAAAUGACGGUACCUGAGUAAGAAGCCCCGGCUAACUACGUG
rnacentral:rRNA from 1 species